rnacentral:lncRNA from 1 species
ACUCCACAUGAUUUAAAGCCUAUGUGAUUUAAGACCUUUUGAUUUCUUACUGAUUCUAGAGUGGUCUGGCAGAUAGUCAAGUCUCCAAUUAAAUUUCAAGCAAUUUGUAUUCUUCUGGCCUAUACCUCUUCACAUCUGUCCUACAGAACAUAGAAAAUCACUAAAGGUAGGAACUGUCAAUAGAAAUCUUGUGCUUGGCCCUCCUGAUGAAAGCAAAUGGAAGGUGUUCUUAGAUAUUUGUGUCACAUCAAGACCAUUUAAUGAUUGACUGAACAUAUAGGAAGGAGUCGGCAUGAUGCUGAAUGUCAUGACAUGUCUCUGGACCAUUGGUUAUAGUUGCAUUUCUUGUCAUACUGAUCCAAUUAAAUAGUUGUUUAUUUCCAAGUUGUUUUUUCUUUUUUUCUUUUUUUUAUUUUUGUUUGUUUAAAUGGUCCCCUACCUUGUGCUUUGUGAAAGUUCUAUUAAUUCCUAAUAUUUAUAAUUCACAAGAAAGUGAAGAAUGUUAUUUCCUGCACUGAGCUCCCAGCCAAGAUUGCUUUUGAAAAUGUUCAUUUCACACAGCUUCUGUAUUAUUUAUUUAUUUAUUUAUUUAUUAUAAAAUAAUUCAUUUUCUGGGAAUUGUGAUAUGUUCUUUGUGCAGGGGGACCAAAGGAUCGAGGUUUCAUCAUUUCAGGACUUAAGCCCAUUGUUAGCAAUUGGCUUUUUCUAGAGAAUGGAUACAUUUGUAUCUAUCUAAGGUGAAGUUCAUGUUUAGUUCUGGUCACUGUCAGAGAUGAGCAUGCUGUAGAAUUUGGGACAUGAUCCAUUGUAACACUUCAGAUAGUCCUGAAGUAGCUGAAGAAUGUUGCAUGAAACUGUUGCCAAGAAAGUCACAGAUAUGUUUGGGCUACAAGAUUUCUAUCAGGAAGAAAAAUAUCCACAGAUUAUAA